UAUAUAUAUAUAUAUAUAUAUAUAUAUAUAUAUAUAUAUAGGCUAUACAUAUAUACACAAUAUGUUUUUUUUUUUUUUCUUGGAAAUAAACUCAUAAUUUUAUUUUGGACGUGUAAAUGCUUAUUGAGGGAUUAUUGGGGGAAUGGUUAUUGGGGGAUAUAUAUAUAUAUAUACUGUAUAUAUGCAUUAUAUACAUAUAUAAAGUGUAUACAAGAACCCUGAUCAUGUUAUUCCUGAUUGUUUAUCCAUUUGAAUUAAGGCAGAACCAGGAUGUGUUCAAAAAUAUCAUGAUAGAACCCUUGCUCACACAAUGACUUCUUUUUUUUAAAAUCAUUAAUUUUUUUAUAUGAUAUUGUGAUUGCAUGAAUGAACAAGAGCAGCAUUUACUUAACUUCUUAGCCUAGUAGUUAUUCAUAUUGUAAUAUGUAGUUUGGUGAUCUAUUAUUUUUUUAUUUGUUCUUCUCUUUCUCUGCAGGUUCCUUAAUCCCUGUCCCUUUAAAAAAAACAGCACCUCAUUACAUCAAAAAAAUAAAAAAGGCACUUUUUAAGAGCCACAUUUGUUUUGUAUCUUGUUACUCUCUCUACUGUUGUAUUGUGUUCUCUCUCUCUCUUGCUGUCUUACUGUCUCUCCCUCCCCUCUGAGUGGGGUUUUUGUUUGUUUGUUUUGUCUUUUUUUGUCCCUGAGUGUUUAUAGUGUGUUUAUAUUUUGUGCCAUGUCUGAUCUUGAGAUGGACCGUCNNNNNNNNNNNNNNNNNNNNNNNNNNNNNNNNNNNNNNNNNNNNNNNNNNNNNNNNNNNNNNNNNNNNNNNNNNNNNNNNNNNNNNNNNNNNNNNNNNNNGAAUGAGAUGAGUGACCUUGUCGAUCAGGCUGAACAUCAAGCUCACCUCCAACAGCUCAUUAGCAUGCACCAGGAAGCAGAACCAUCCACCGGUCAGCCUUCCACCAGUAAUCCAUCCACCAGCCGGCCAUCAAAAAGCAAGCAAGACGUUAGGUGGAUUAAGAGGGACAGUGAUGGAAACAUUAUUUACGGCAGGCCCAGAUCAUCCCGGAAACAAGCAGCAGGUCCCAGUCACAGCCAGAGUCGAAAGACUGGUGUCUCUCAUAUCAGGGCUCCUGAAACCAGUGCGGAAAUGACCAGUGACUUUCCUUCCGUUACUGCAGGUGUGUUAUUUAUUUUGACUUCACUGGUUCAAAACAGUAUGUUCAUUUAUUAUAAAAUGGCCAUUGUUCAAUGCUAUUCUCUUUUGUUGUAAUAAACUACUGUUUUUAAAUAUUUUGCAUUGUUUUAAAAGAGUCCUUCCUUCAAGAGCUUAAAAGCUCACUGUUUGAGGAAAUACAUGAGGAUGAAACGGUACUUCAAGCCUCAACAGACUGGUCGACCCGAAAGAGCCUCAUAUCAGGGUGGUGGGAGAAAGAGAGACCCCGACUGGUCAACACCAUGGUGGCUGGACAACAUGCGGCAACUCGGAUCUGCCAACAUUGUGGAAAUGGUCCAGCCGUAAUCCGUUGUUGUGACUGCCGACCACACCCAUUCCUCUGUGGCCAGUGUGAUGUCAGGGUCCACCGAGGUCAAGUGUUCCACAACAGGGAUUCGAUGACACAUGCAUUCUUUCAUCCAUUGCCUCCCACAACUUGUGUUGUGGAGAGGGUUCUAACCCAGUGUGGUAAGUUGUAGUUUUUAAAAGUCACAUUCUUAGACUUGACUGAAAAACUGAUAGGUCGAUGAAGCAGUCAAGUACAUCUUGUUUAAAAUAGUUGCCAGUAAAUAAAUGUUAUUUUUUAAUGCUUAUCCAUGUGUUUUUUGUUUUUUUCAAGAGCGUCUUGUACCUUUGGAGAUGCCAGAGACAAUAUGCGGUUGUCUACGAGUAUCGUCCAGUGUCAUCGCAGGACAGUCCAUAGUUGUGGUUACAAUGAAUGGUAAGAAGAACUUUAUGGGUUUGGGUGGGGGUCACUUCUGUAGAAGUGUCUGCUGAAUCUCACCCACAGCUAUUUGCUGAUCACACCUCGUAUAU
ensembl:lncRNA